rnacentral:lncRNA from 1 species
AUGGAGUUUUAAGCCUAAAGGACAGUAUCCUACUUGCAGAAGAAGAUGGGAAAUGUAACAUUCCAUUAUCUUGCUUUGGAUUUAUGGAAAUUCUGAACAGUGAUGUGAGAGUGACUACAGUUUGAAGUAUCUGUUAAAUACAGCAACAUGACAUCACAAGGAUUGUUUUGGAGUCUUCUGGAUAUGAGAACAUUAUAAAAGUAACACUGAGGUAAGCACUCUUUUCAACCCUGUUUUAGGAAGGAGGAAGCUGAAGCCAUGCACUUGGAAGUGGUGGGAUGAUUACUUGAGUCUGGAGCUGUUUGACAUUACAGUCUCUACUUUUAACUACAAUACCAGAUGGCCUCUCAAUUGAUACCCAUUUUUUAAAAAUCUGAGUUAUUGCCUGUAGCAAUACAUAACAACAAUAGCUGCAAGAUUUCUGAGUUAUUCAGAAAGAUUUUUCAUUCUGUUUAUAUCAGAGAUGAGACUAGAGUUUAUCAUUUUUGGUCUUCUAAUUUGUGAACAGCUCUACAGGUAUUAGGUGGACAACACCUAAAUAAAUU